rnacentral:tRNA from 2 species
GCCUCCAUAGCUCAGUCUGGUCCAGAGCUACGGUUAUCUACCUUGCUGGAGUCGCAGGUUCGAAUCCUGCUGGGGGCACCA